UGGGGUUUUGGCUUAGUGGUAAGUCCUUGCCUAGCAUGUAUGAAGCACUGGGUUCGAUUCUCAGCACCACAU
rnacentral:tRNA from 1 species